AGCGAACGCUGGCGGCAGGCUUAACACAUGCAAGUCGAGCGCCCCGCAAGGGGAGCGGCAGACGGGUGAGUAACACGUGGGAACGUGCCUUUUGGUUCGGAACAACCCAGGGAAACUUGGGCUAAUACCGGAUAAGCCCUUACGGGGAAAGAUUUAUCGCCAAAAGAUCGGCCCGCGUCUGAUUAGCUAGUUGGUGGGGUAAUGGCCCACCAAGGCUACGAUCAGUAGCUGGUCUGAGAGGAUGAUCAGCCACAUUGGGACUGAGACACGGCCCAAACUCCUACGGGAGGCAGCAGUGGGGAAUCUUGGACAAUGGGCGCAAGCCUGAUCCAGCCAUGCCGCGUGAGUGAUGAAGGCCUUAGGGUCGUAAAGCUCUUUCAGUGGGGAAGAUAAUGACGGUACCCACAGAAGAAGCCCCGGCUAACUUCGUGCCAGCCGCCGCGGUAA
rnacentral:rRNA from 1 species